GAUUUUCAAACAUCUUACUACCUUGAGGUGCAUACACGGAUCCUUGUAUUGCUAUAUGAAUUGAGGGCAACUUAAUUUUCUUAUUGCCUUAACGUACAUGGUGGGGCUGUAUCAUUGGGACACCCAUUAGGAUGCAGUGGAGCUCGUAUCUUGGUCACAUUGUUAGGG